AGUAUAGCUUAGUGGAUAGAGUGCUUGCUUAGCAUGCACGAAGCCCUGGGUUCAAAUCCCCAGUACU
rnacentral:tRNA from 1 species